UGGGGAAUAUUGGACAAUGGGCGAAAGCCUGAUCCAGCCAUGCCGCGUGUGUGAAGAAGGUCUUCGGAUUGUAAAGCACUUUAAGUUGGGAGGAAGGGCAGUAAGCGAAUACCUUGCUGUUUUGACGUUACCGACAGAAUAAGCACAGGCUAACUCUGUGCCAGCAGCCGCGGUAAUACAGAGGGUGCAAGCGUUAAUCGGAAUUACUGGGCGUAAAGCGCGCGUAGGUGGUUCGUUAAGUUGAAUGUGAAAGCCCCGGGCUCAACCUGGGACCUGCAUCCAAAUCUGGCGAGCUAUAGUAGGGCAGAGGGUGGUGGAAUUUCCUGUGUAGCGGUGAAAUGCAUAGAUAUAGGAAGGAACACCAGUGGCGAAGGCGACCACCUGGGCUCAUACUGACACUGAGGUGCGAAAGCGUGGGGAGCAAACAGG
rnacentral:rRNA from 1 species